ACCAGAUUACUUUGUUAUAUCCUAAACAUUAUGCAAAUGAUCUGUAUCUCACAGUGUCCAAACAAUAACAGUCCCUAAAUAUCUACAGACUCCAUUCAGACCGCAGUGAGGAUCACAGACGUCACCUUUGACCCCUGUAACAGCGCGGCUUACCUGCACUGAGGUGAGCGGGAGUCCUGAGACGGAGAGGACGGCGGUGUGAGAGCGCUGGAGCAUGUGUAGGACACACACACACACACACACACACAUGACAGCCAUGCACAGGUGCAGCAGAAUGAAGCCGUGUUGUAACGGGACACUCAUAAGUCCCUGGGGUGAAGUGAGAUUUAUUUCGGAGGUGAAGGCUGCCAGUCAGGGGUCUGUGAGCAUCUGAAACAUGCAUCCCAUAAUCCUACAAUCAACAGGGAAAGAAACUACUGAAACGGAGACUGUGAAGUGAACACAGUAAGCUCUUGUGAUUGAGCAGUUUGGUCAAAUUAUGCUGAUUUAUAGCGUCAUGUAAACCGUUACUAAAAAUAACACCAGGAUUCGACUCUAUUUAGUGUAUUUUGUGUUAUUUAAGAUUAUAUUUAGGAAUUACAUUUUGUAAAAUGACUUCUUAGGAAUGUUUGAUUUUUCUGUAGAAUAUAAAAAAAUACAAGUUUUAUUGAUAUUAAUUUUUUUAUUUAUACUAAUUUUAGUCUGACAUAUAAAUAACCUUUACUUCUAAUAUGGUGUUAAUAUUUGUUUCUAUUUUCUAAAUAUUUUAAAAGUCUUAAGAGUUCAGAAAAAACCUGUCAAUAUCAGCUGCAUGUUGUGUUUGGCUACAAAUUCAAAAGAAAAAAAAAUGAUAUAUAUAUUUUGCAACAUUUAUUUAAAUUUCAUCCUGCUUCAGGGUUUUGGAAGAAACACAGCAGCUCAAACAUCAACUGAAAUGUCUGCUAUUCCUCUGAUAUCAAGAGUUGCAUCAUCACGGCAUGAAGUCUUCAAGAACAACGAAUGUUCAGCUGUUACUCAACAUUUCACAGAUACUUCUCAUCUGGCCUGCACUUCUCCAUGCUCCUGAUACUCGAACACACGUCCCGCUUUAUUCACUAUUCCUGGUAAAGCACACGAGACCGAGCCGCUCCGGACACUUUCUGGACACACACAAAGCAAACAUGACAUUUGAGUGAUAUAAUAACCUUUCUCAUCAUUCAACACUUCAGCUGGACUCAGAAAUGCAUGGCUUUGCUUUGCUUUUUUUUUUUCUACUCCGCUUUUUAGCAGAUUGUUAGAACCACAAUACUAUCAGUCUUCAUUUUUAACACUAGAUCUAUUGUUUUAUCCUCUACGACCAAACCACCGUCUUGUUUUUGAAUCAUUUUGCUGUGCAUUAAAUCACAAUUGCUUUGAUACUUUGGUGUCUAACACAAUAAGUGUGACUGAAGCAUCCGAAUAUGUUUUGGCCCUCUGUAGCCUGGUCAGAAAUUGACAUCACUGAUAAUUUGCAGGUUCAUUAUAGAUCCACUGCUUCAUGUGGAACAAACACCAUUCUGUGCUUUAAAGAUGCACAUGCAUGCUUUAUUGAACAAGACGAGUGAUUUAUCUUCAGUGUCCGAGUGCUACCUUACCUUUACUAAUGGAUUACACUAAUGGAAAAUAAUUAGCUGCAUUUCUCACACUCUGAACUUUUAUUACACUUCAGCGUGUUGUUUAGAAGAAGCAUUAGAGGUUCCACAAAGAACCAUUCGGUCAAAGGUUGUGUAAAGAACCAUGUCUUUCUUACCUUUAAUAAUCUGAAGAAUUCUUCAUGGACGCAUUUAGACAAAACUGGUUCUUCUCGUGAAGCACCUUUAUUACAGACGCUUUAAGUGAUCAGAUGCACCAUUUUCAACAAUAAAACAGGUUUAAAAAACAUCUACAGACCAGAAGAUCGCAGAGAUUACCCAGAAUGCCGCAGCAUCAUGCUGGUGAGUUUUGCACAGGCACACAUGAAUCUUUAUAUGGUGUUUUGAAACAUUAGGGAGAAUAACUAUUAUGCUGCAUGACAAAAAUCAAGUUGUAGUUGCAAUAUUUGGCUUUUGUAGCACGCUAUGCUCCUGAAGUGUAUAUAUUGCCAGAAGCCACAAGCGUACUGUGUUUAUUUUAGAUUGUAGGAGAGAAAUUCAGCUGCGGGGGCGAUGAAACGGUCUUGUGGGUGUCUCA
ensembl:lncRNA